rnacentral:rRNA from 1 species
AAAUAUGACUAUGGGGUAUAGAAAACAGGGCCUCCUGUCCGCUCGGCUGUAUUUAAGCCACACGCCGGUGAGAGUAGUUGGGUAGGUAACUACUAGCGAAUCCUCACUGUUGUAUGUU